rnacentral:rRNA from 1 species
GCUUACGACCAUACCCCGUUGAGAACACGACAUCCCGUCCGAUCUGUCAAGUUCAUUCAUUCAUUCAUUCAUUCAUUGUUUAUUCCGUCAGAGUAAUGUACAUAGAGGUGCGAGAGAGUUGACCAGAGACGGAUGUCCGUCGACGUUAAGUUAAGCAAGUUAAGCAACGGUGGGCCCAGUUAGUACUUGGAUUGGGAAUCCUGGGUGUUGUAAGCA